UACGUAGGGUGCAAGCGUUGUCCGGAAUUAUUGGGCGUAAAGAGCUCGUAGGCGGUUUGUUGCGUCGGCUGUGAAAUCCCGAGGCUCAACCUCGGGUCUGCAGUCGAUACGAGCAAACUAGAGUGUUGCAGGGGAGACUGGAAUUCCUGGUGUAGCGGUGAAAUGCGCAGAUAUCAGGAGGAACACCGGUGGCGAAGGCGGGUCUCUGGGCAGUAACUGACGCUGAGGAGCGAAAGCGUGGGGAGCGAACAGG
rnacentral:rRNA from 1 species